CGAAAUGCGAUAAGUAAUGUGAAUUGCAGAAUUCAGUGAAUCAUCGAAUCUUUGAACGCACCUUGCGCUCCUUGGUAUUCCUUGGAGCAUGCUUGUUUGAGUAUCAUGAAAUCUUCAAAGUAAAUCUUUUGUUAACUCAAUUGGUUUCUACUUUGGUAUUGGAGGUCUUUGCAGCUUCACACCUGCUCCUCUUUGUUCAUUAGCUGGAUCUCAGUGUUAUGCUUGGUUCCACUCGGCGUGAUAAGUUAUCUAUCGCUGAGGACACUGUAAAAGGUGGCCAAGGUAAAUGCAGAUGAACCGCUUCUAAUAGUCCAUUGACUUGGACAAUACUUUUAUGAUCUGAUCUCAAAUCAGGUAGGACUACCCGCUGAACUUAAGC
rnacentral:misc_RNA from 1 species